UCGCCCUCCCGGACGGCCGGCGCGACGCUCCGGCAAGAGCGGAGCCCGGCAGCGCGCCCGCUCCGCGCAGCCUGCGCGGCGCUCCGCGGGAGGAUGGGGAGGGCGGCGGGGCUCUGCCUGGUCGUCUGCGGCCUCGCCUGGCUCCUCGCCUGCUGCGCCGCCCGCCGGGACCCCUCAGGCAAUGAUGCUUUUACCAUUCGCCAUGACACACUGAACAAGUGCAUACAAGUUAAAAACUCACGAAUAGUAAUAGAUGACUGCAAAGAGACAAGUGAAGCUUUAUGGAAAUGGGUGUCCCAGAAUCGCCUCUUUCAUUUGGGGUCCAAGCAGUGCCUGGGACUUGAUAUAUUCACCAAAUCACUGUCUCGCCUGAAAAUGGUUGAUUGUAGCUCAGAACUAAUGUUGUGGUGGCGAUGUGCUGAUGCUUCCAUCCUUGGUGCAUCUCAGUACAAAGUGACUAUCAAGAGUACCUAUGUGACUGCAAGCAUAAAUGCAACAGACCAGUGGAGAAGCAACAGUUCCUCCGAUGAUAUAUGUCGGUAUCCUUACCAUGAGGUUUAUACCAAAGAUGGGAACUCCUAUGGAAAACCCUGCGAGUUCCCCUUUCUGUAUAAUGAGACGUGGCAUCAUGACUGCAUUCAGGAUGACACGCAUACGGGUGGGAAAUGGUGCGCCACAUCUGAAGAUUAUACUCGCGAUGGAAAAUGGGGAAUCUGCUUACAACCAGAGGAUGGUUGUCAUGAUAUCUGGGAACAUGAUCCGGGGGCUGAAAGUUGCUACCAGUUUAAUACACAGUCUGCUCUUUCUUGGAAGGAAGCUUAUAUUUCAUGUCAAAGGCAAGGGGGAGAUUUACUUAGCAUCCAAGAUGCAUCUGAAUUAAGUUACGUACAAGGCAAGGAUGACAUUGCUGAGAUCUUUUGGAUUGGCUUAAAUCAACUGGACAUUUCUGGAGGUUGGCAGUGGUCAGAUCACAAACCUUUGAAUUUUCUCAACUGGCAUCCAGAUAUGCAGAGUUUGUCCCCGCUGGAUGGGACCAGCUGUGUGGUGAUGAACGCUGCCUCAGGUCAGUGGCAGAGUUACCACUGUGGGACUCCACUUCCAUAUGUUUGCAAGAAGUCGCUCAAGGAAGUUUCAAGCCUCCCAGAGUUUUGGAGACACUUGGAUACUCGCUGUGAUUCGGGCUGGCUUCCCCACAAUGGGUUUUGCUACAUGCUGAUAAACAACCAGGUUCCUUGGGGUACGGCGGAUGAGUCGUGCAAAGCAAACAGGAGUAACCUCAUCAGCAUACACUCAUUGGCGGACGUCGAACUGAUAGUUACAAAGCUUCAUAACGAUGUUAAAGAAGAAAUGUGGAUGGGUCUCAGGAAUGAAGAUGUACCAACCUUGUUCAAAUGGUCAGAUCGCUCAGCUGUGGUUUUUACAUAUUGGGAUCAGAACGAACCAAAAGUUCCUUUUAACAGCACUCCUAACUGUGUGUCAUAUUCAGGCGAGUUGGGACAGUGGAGAGUCAAAUCCUGUGAAGAAAAAUUGAAAUAUGUGUGCAAGAAAAAAGGAGAGAUUUUGAAUGAAACAAAAUCAGAUAAAAGUUGCUCAUUGGAAGAGGGAUGGGAGAAACACGGAAACUACUGUUACAAGAUUUAUAAAACAGAAGUUUCAUUUGGAGCACAGUGCAAUCUUACAGUGAUGAACAGAUUUGAGCAAGAAUUUAUAAACAGUCUUAUUAGAAAACACACCAAAGUUGAAGAAAAAUACUUCUGGACCGGUUUGCAGGAUAUUAGCCAAUCAGGAAUAUAUUCCUGGGGUACAGUGGAUGGGAGAAAUCCUGAAGCUGUGACAUUCACUAACUGGAAUUCCUUGCAACCAGAGUUUUCCGGAGGAUGCGUGGCCAUGCCCAGUGGAAAGUCUCUUGGAAAGUGGGAAACUAAGGACUGUAAAACCACUAAAGCAUUUUCUAUCUGCAAAAAAUAUAUCGGUCUGCCCAAGGAGCCAGAAGUGCUCCCAAAGCCAACUGAUCCCUGUCCGCCUGGGUGGCACAAUGGAUCCGGCCUUGCCUGCUACAAGUUCUUCCACAGCGAAAGAGUGCUGCGAACCAGGACCUGGGAAGAGGCAGAAAGGUUCUGUGAAGCGCUCGGAGGCCAUCUACCUAGUUUUAGUCACUCAGAAGAAAUCAAGGCGCUUCAUUCUAUCCUGAGAAAAAUAAUCAGCAAUGACAGAUGGGUAUGGAUUGGAAUGAAUAAGAGGAGUCCAGACUCUUUGGGAACUUGGCAAUGGAGUGAUGAUAAACCCGUAACUAGUGUUGUUAUGCCACUUGAUUAUCUGGAAGAUGAAUAUGAUACAAGAGACUGUGCUGCAUUAAAGACCUCUCAGUUUUCACGGAGAUCAUUUUGGAGAUUUUAUUUCCAUGAAGGCAGAGACCUGGAAUUUUACUUCAAGCCUUUUGAUUGUGAAGCUAAACUUGAAUGGGUCUGUCAGAUAACAAAAGGUAGCACUCCAAAGACACCUGAGUGGUACAUACCAGAUGAAAUUGGAAUUCAUGGAGCCCCGCUUGUUGUCGAUGGAGCUGAGCUGUGGUUUGUACCAGAUAAAAACCUGAGCUUCCAGGAAGCUAUUUUCUACUGUCAAAAAAAUGAUAGUGAUUUAGCCUCUGUGGAUUCUUACCCAAAACUCAGGACAAUACUAUCUCAAAUAGAAAAGUUAUCAAACAGCGAACAGAAGUGGUGGCUGAAGUUUAUUGAUUAUGGCUACAGCUAUCAUUCACCUUUACAGUUAUUUUCACGCUUCCAUGAUCGAUUCCUGAGGGAUUGUUGGUAUGUUUCUAGAAAGAACUGGUACAGAGACUACCCAGUUAACUGUAACGUAAAACUGCCCUUCAUCUGUGAAAAAAAUAAUGCCUCCUUACUAGAGAAACAUGAUCCCAGUUACCGCCCAGUCAGAGGAGGUUGCCCUAAAGAUUGGCAUCAGUUCCGGAAUAAGUGUUUUAUGAAGAUGAAACCUGAAUAUUUAACAUUUAAUGCAGCUAAUGAAAAGUGUGUAACUUUUGGAGGCACUCUUCCAUCCAUCUCAAAUCAAGCUGAGCAAGAUCAUAUAACGUCCUUGCUUCCUGGUAUGCCAAAAGAUAUUUGGAUUGGUUUGCAGUUUCUGUUCAGCACAAGGGAAAACAAAUGGAUAGAUGACAGUAGACUGUUGUAUAGUAACUUUCACCCACUCUUGACGGGAAGACUAAGGAAAAUUCCACUGGACCUUUUUGAUGAAGAAUUCAACAAUCAGUGUGGUGUAAUCCUCAAUGAUCCCAAAUCACAGUAUGUUGGAACAUGGAAUUUCACUGCUUGUGCUGACAGACACUUCUUGGGUAUAUGCCAGCGGCCUACAGGAACUGCUGAUAACCAGGCAGAGCAAGUCUUUAAUGAAACAUUGACCUAUCAAGAUGUUCAAUACAUGGUCAUUCUGAAGAAUUUGUCCUGGAAUGAUGCCAUGGCUGCAUGCAUAAGUAACAAGAUGCAGCUGGUGAGCAUCACAGAUCAGUUCCAGCAGGCUUUUCUUGCUGUUCAGGCUGCCCUUCGUAAUCACCCACUGUGGAUUGGACUCUUCAGCAGAGACGGUGGAAAACAUUAUGGCUGGCUGGAUGGGAAACAUGUUAGUUUUAGUCGCUGGUCUGAUGAUGAUGAAGAAACAAGCGAAGAGUGUGUGUUUUUGGAUACUGAUGGCUUCUGGAAAACUUCUGACUGUUCCUCUGAAAAUCGAGGUGCUAUUUGCUACGCGUCAGAAAAGAAGACUGAAAAAGAACAAGUUACACAAGUGAAGUGCCCACAUAAGAUUAAAAAUACGCCCUGGAUAUCAUUUAGAAACAAUUGUUACACUUUUAUGAUAACAAAAAAUAGAUGGAGAGAACUGAAGUCUCAAGAAGCUCAUCAUUUAUGCAAGAAAAUGAACCCAGAAGCAUUUGUUCUGAGCGUUCGAGACGAAGAAGAGAAUAACUUUGUUACUGAGCAGCUUCGUUCAUUCAGCGGUCUGGCUAUGUGGGUCUGGCUGGGUGUGAUUUAUGAUGACAAUGAUAAAGUUCUCAAGUGGUAUGAUGAAACUCAUCUGACUUACAAUAACUGGAGGCUGGGAAGGCCUGACAUAAAGAAGAACAGCUUUUUUGCUGGUGUAAAUCUUGAUGGUUUUUGGGAUAUUUAUAAUUAUUCUCAAAGUUGGCAUGCUCAUCACUACAAUGUGUACAGUAUUCUCGCCUGCAAAAUCGAAAGGGGACCCCAACAGCACAAGCCUCCAUUGCCUGAGUCUAUUCCACACGGAAACAGGACAUACAGGAUCCUUCAGAAAAAGUUAACAUGGUAUGAGGCAUUGAGAGAAUGCAAACACAAUAGGAGUGAUUUAGCAAGCGUACACAGCGAAUCACAACAGUUAUUUCUAGAAGACAUUGUCAAGCAGGAUGGCUAUCCUCUGUGGCUUGGGCUGUCCAUUCAUGAUGGAAGUAAAGCUAAUUUUGAAUGGUCAGAUGGAAGCGACUUUGACUAUUAUCCUUGGGAAUUAGAGAACUCAAAUACUACUGAGAACUGUGUUCUGUUGGAUACUAAAGGAUCUUGGAACCGUACAAAAUGUACAAGUGUUGCUGAAGGUGCCAUUUGCUAUAGCACUCCAAACAAGAGACAAUUACAGCCAAAGCAAGUGAGCAGAGCUCCAGGGUGCCCACAAACUGGCGGUACCCUACAAUGGAUACAGUAUAAGGAUCACUGUUAUGCAUUUGACAUGGCGUUCUACAAUUUCUCAGUAUAUAACGUGGAAGAUGCUAAGAAAGUCUGCCAGAAACUGAAUCCCUCAUCAACCCUGCUGACUAUAGGGGAUGCUGAAGAAAAUGCAUUUGUGAGCACACACAUAAAGGAAAACGAUCUCAUCACCAAGAACGUGUGGCUUGGCCUCGCUCAGAGCUCCAAGGAUCAGUCCCUGAACUGGCUUGACGGCUCAUCAGUUAAUUACGCCAACUGGGAAAACAGAACUGCAGAAGUCAAUGAAAAAUGCAGCGUUAUCCUGUCCACAACUGGCACGUGGUCCAAAGUUGACUGCAGUCAGAGUCAAAGCAGGGUGGUUUGUAAAGCUCCUUUAGGUUCUAAUCAUACUGGGGUGGCUGUAGCAUUUGCCCUGCUAAUUAUCUUAGUCUUCAUCAUCGGAUUAGUGUGGUAUCUCUAUAAAAAGAAGCGCCUUCACUGGAGUGCCUUCUCUUCUGUACGCUAUCAAAGAGGGAUGAAUGACGAUGAAACUGAGGAUGUGUUCACAAAAGACAGCUAUUGAGAAACUUCUCGGCAAUUGAGCAUGAACUUCACCGUGUGAAGCCAUAAGGAAUGAACUACUUGAUGUUUUAUUACUUCUUGGAAAAGUAAUAAGAAGGUUAUUAAUGUGGGCUAAAUUUUGUUCUUUUAUACAAGUGCAAUUUUUCUUCAAGUCCUUGGUAAUUAUUUACACUUGGCCUCAGCCAUUUACGGUGCAAGGUUUCUAGAGUUCUGUGAUAUUUUUUUAAUUUACAGUAUUUUCUUUUUACUGGAAAGAGUUUUUAAUGGAGUAAUUAAUGCCAACAGUACUUCAUGCAACGUCACCUUAAUGAAUGCACUUAAAAUUGCUGCAUGAAUUCCGUAACUUUGUGCAAUUAUCAAUCAAUAACUUUACGCCAAAUGAUGUACCGUUCUGAUACACUGUAAGGGUCGUGCUGCUAGCAUUGGGUUACCCCGUAGAAGCUAACACAAAGGCGAUAAAUAGGAGACAAACUGUCUUCGUGUAACAACUUGUGUAAUAAGCAGUUAUAAAUUUUGACAUAGCAGGGGAGAAGGGAGUUAUCAGACAGCUAAGCUUUCAUUCCCAUCCAACUAGAAUUUAAAUUUUCUUCCUAUAGCGGAGGAAGAUCGUAUUGAUACUCACCUCCCUCCCCUCAAAGACACACAAAAAAAAUCACGUUAUAGCGGGGAGAGAAGAAUCUUCCUUAGAACGUAGAAUGUACAUUUUGAACAGAGCGUUAAUGGGGAAUACCCCGAACUAAGCCCACACCAUCUAGGAGUAAAUUUAAUAAACAUAGAAUAUUUGAAGCCUGAGACAAGCUGUAGAUAACUACUCUUACCGCCUGAAGGUGGUAGCAGGGCUAACAAAAAUACCCAUUAAGGGCUAACGACAAAAAUAACCAGAACUCAAGACACAGUGAAAGCCUCAGCCCUAUAAAAACUUCAAGCUACUCUGAAAUUAGACCUGAGUGAUUUUCUUGUAGAUCAAAACGCAGAAAAGAGCUGCUCCGUUUCAUGAUCUGUUGCACUGUGACACCCAGGGACAGGAGUGUUGCAGUGACAGCGUUCCUUCUUCUGUAACGAGAUCCUCCUGACUCUUACUUCCCCUAAUACUCUUAUUUAUACUAGGGUUAAGUGCCUAACUCCGUAGGUGAAAUACGUCAUCUGUCCAAGAAUCAAGAGAAAGAGAUAUCUAAGGAAAGAGUGAGAAAAGAAUGUAUGGUAAAUAAACUUGUGUACAUAAAUGCUAAAAAUACUUGAGUAUUUUACAUAAAACUUAAACUUGAUUUUUGUAUGUGAUGUGUCACUGUGGCCUUUUCUAUGCACUCCAGAGAAAGCUAUAAAGAGAAAAAGGGAAGACAGAAUUGUAUCAUAUCAAUUACUCUCUAACGAUUUGGUCAACUAGUGUUUUGAAAAAGUCUUUAGACUUUUUUAAUGCGCAGUGCAAGGAAGAGGCACGCUUACGUUUAUGAAGGAGGGUACGUAAAAGACCAGAUCCCAUCCCCGCGUCGCGGUGGCACGACGUGAGCAAUAGGAAGAGGCUUGGUCUGACGCGCUGAGAAAAGUACUACUGAUCUCUCCGAGGCAGCGCUGCCAGGUCGUCAUGUUCAACCGCCUUUUUCCUCCCCCCCUCCCCCAACCCCCUGCAGUUUACUUAACGUUGACGACGGCACUUUUCUUUGUUCCUGUUUGCACUAUUUUGAUAAGCAGGUGUUUUAUCAUUUGUAUUGAGAAAUAGAGAACUUCUUGUAGAUACUGCUUUAAAGCAGCAGCCUGAAGGGGCACCGUAAAGGAACCGCUGUGGUAGUUCGCUGAUCAAAGAAGUAAGCACUUUUGUUGUUUGUUUGGUACUUCGGGCACAAUUGUGAACGUUUUCUUUCUUUCUUGAGGUAGCUUGUAGGAAAAAAAGAAAAAAAAAAGUAGUUCUGAUGUUAGUUACGGUGUGAUGAAAAUCAUCCUCACCCACCUUAAACUUCCCCUGGUAUGAGAAGUCUUUGAAACGUACCAAAGCCGGGUUCCUGUCGUCUUCACGUCUUCAGGGUGAGCUUAUAUGCCAAAGUGCUUCGCCGAAUGACUCCUAACAUAAUGGACUAAAAAAAAAAAAAAAAAAAAAGAAGAAAAGUAGUAGUGUUGUUUAUUGUCCUUUUUCUAACAGCAGUAAGUGGGGAAAAUUAUUUACAAAUUCUCGUGUUUUAAGAUUUACUAGUUUUAUAAGAUGUUUAUACUUUGAGCAUUUUUAGGUGUGAGUCUGAAAUGGGAAAAGGAAAUGAGUAGUAAAAUCCUAAUUCUCCAACGCACAUGAAUAUAUACUUUUUAUAAAAAAAGAAGUCGUAUAUUUUAAUCUUAUGAGCGAUGUAAAUAAUUUUUUAAGGCCCCGUUUCGCAUGUUUGUUUCAUCAUGCCCGAGUUGUCUAAUCACUGGUAAUUCUUCUUUGAGUAAGCACAACUGCCUGGGUGCAGGUGAGUAACCCACUUCCUUGGAAAUACAUAGGAAGAUUAUUUAGCAGUAUUGCUGUUGAAAGAAUAAAGUUAAAUAAAACACUAAACUGCUUACACUGGUUUUAUUUCCGUGGAAGCAGUUACCACAGCUGAGGUACAGCUCAUUAAUCACUGGGUAAAGAAAGCACCCAGCACAGGGGCUGCCGUCGCAAUUAGCCCAGAUAAGCAAGCCUUGCCAUGAUAAGAAAACUUUAGAGGUAAUAAAAAUCUUUGAUGUGUUUAAACAAAGAAUGCCAGUAACUUUCUUUUUGCAGUUGAAAACGUACUUUACCAUGGCACAUGUUGUACCUAGCCUUUAUCAAGCUGCUGUGGGGUUUGCAGAGAAAGGGAACGUUAUUCUCUGCCUUUCUUUCCCUCCAUUCACGGUGUAGUUCAUCCGCACCUUGUGGCCCAUUAUAGCUCCAAAGCAGUUUUUAAGGGCUCCCAGCAUAACUCCUCAUAAAAUAUGGGCAAAGUUAAAUUACUUUCAGCCAUGUAACAUUUGCAAUUAAAGCAUGCGAUGUGUUCUUUUUGAGCAUCAUCUGAACUCUGAAUUCCAGACCUCCGCAGUCGGCGGCCGCUGGUCGAAGGGCAGUGUUAUUUUUGUCUACAGUAACGGCUCGCUGGGAGAAACAUCCUGUUGUGCAAGAACCAUGAACGAGGUCAUCUCUUUCAAAAACAUUAAUUAAAAGCUGAAGAUGAUUUGCAGGGAAACAGAAGUACAGAAACGAAGUGCUUUUCCCCGGUCACGGAGCGAUGGAGUUGGGGAGUCAUCCUAAAGCUCCUUCAGCUCAGAGCACGGAUGGGCUGCUGGGCGCUGGUAGCUGCAGGCGAAAACUGUCCAACUUCAGCCACCGUUCCGCUUUGUGCCUGUUCUCUCGUACCAGCUUCACAGCGGCGAUGAAUAAGCCACCAAAUGACAAAGGUGCCACCUCAGACACAAGAGCCAACUAGGUGAACUGCUCUGGAAAGGACAUCAGAAAAUACCACUUCCUAAAGACCAGCAGCCAGCCCAGCACCACCGCCAGCCCUGCCGCACCGGCACAGGGGGCUGGGAAAGGGCUGGAACAGCCGGGAUGGACAGCUAGAGGGUUCCGUAGCAGCAGGACACCCCAGCCUGGGCAGGGGUGGGUCUGUUCCCUCCUCAGCAAGCAGUAAGUCUUCAGCAGCCAGGGAGAGAGCAGCUGUUUCCAUCUGGGCCCAAGCACUUGCAACACAACACAGGGGAUUUUGCUGUGGGCAAGAGCCAACACUCCAACCACUCCUCUUCCAGCCCCCCCAGGACUCCCUCCAGCCACCCCUCGCUCUGCAACCGGGGCUUCUCCUACCAUGAAGACUCGUCCCCGUCAUACCUCACACCAGUCUCACCUUGCAGGACCAGCUCUGCUUCCAAGCCCUGGAGCACAUGCCUUCCCUCUGCAUCGCUGCAGCUCAGGGAGGACCAUCAGCCGAGACACAACCACCCCGGGGGAGCUGGGAGGAGAAGGCUCCUGGUUUAAAUACUGCUGUGCCCAUGGGCACACCCUGACGAGGCACAACCGGCGACAGCUGAGGCUCCUCUCACUUUCUCAGCUUGGGGCUGCAGCAGGAGAAAGAAGGCAGACAGGUGAGCUGCUCCUGUGGGCACACACGCUCCAUUGCACUAACCGUGCCAGUGCUAACCCAGCACAGGACCAGCUGAGUUUAUACGGACAGGCUGUCACUUUUUGAUCCGGCGUUGCACGGGAUUGACUGGUGCUUGGUUUUGCAGGAAGGACAUGUGUUUGGGAUGGUAAUCCUGAGCCAUCAUAGCAUUUCAGGGAAGGCCCGGGGCUCUGCGAACUGCAGGUGGCCACAGACGUGUCCCCGGGUGCAGCAUUGGGAGGGGAUGGAGCUGGGCUCCCUCCAGCCCGAUGUGCCCUCCAGCUGGCCGGGCUGCCCCAGCCCCGGGGCAGCGGGUGGUGGCGCUGCCAAGAACCAGAACCACCCAAAACAAUGCAUUUGCUCUUGGUGGUGUCUAGAGCAAAACCUUGGUGCGGAGCCUGGGCAUGGGGUGAGACGGAGCCUGGUUUGGGAAGUGCACAGAAAGGAACACAACAGCCAAGGAAAAAAAAGCAACUGCUGAUGUAAGCAGAGGCAGUUCCAGCCUCAAAUAAAGACCCGGCAAGACUGUGCAAGGUGAUAAGGAUGAAGAAACAAAGAAUCUGUGAACAGCUGGAGACUAAAUUGCACAGACCCAUCUCCAGGGUCCCACGCCGCUCAGAGCAUCCGACCAAGGGAUGUAUGAGAGCACAUUGAUGGCGAUUACACAUCACUGCUUGGCUUCCAUACCUCUGCAUGGGCUGAGGGCACUUUUGUCUGCUCGAGGACAGUCUGUCUGUGCUGCCGACAGCUCAGCUGCCCCCACUCCAGAUUUACCACUUUGGUGACACACGCUCUUAGGUGAGCACCGUGCCUGGGUCAGGCUGCAGUCAGAGAAGAGCAGCUGGCAGCUCACUGGAGCUGCCCGUGAUUUUCUGUUAUUAGUGACUUUGGAGGUGCCGACGAGAAGGGAUGGAGCUGAUCCUGCAGCAUGCGACUUUGGAGAUGAUUCAUGCAUCGCUCUGCUUUCACCACAGUAACCGCCUGGGAACCUGUCCCUUGGGCUCGCACGGGACAUCUCCCACUGACCAAAGGUGCGACCCAGCCCCAGCGUGUGCAGCAGGAGCUGCAAACAAACCUUCCCCAUCGUAGCUGCAAACUCUUCUCUAUAAUCUGCCACAAAGGCAAAACUUCGCUUCUGAGAGGCAGGGCCGUUGUCUCC